rnacentral:rRNA from 1 species
AUUGAACGCUGGCGGCAGGCCUAACACAUGCAAGUCGAACGAGUGGCGGACGGGUGAGUAAUGUCUGGGAAACUGCCUGAUGGAGGGGGAUAACUACUGGAAACGGUGGCUAAUACCGCAUACUAUCGGAUGCGCCCAUAUGGGAUUAGCUAGUAGGUGGGGUAAAGGCUCACCUAGGCGACGAUCUCUAGCUGGUCUGAGAGGAUGAUCAGCCACACUGGGACUGAGACACGGUCCAGACUCCUACGGGAGGCAGCAGUGGGGAAUAUUGCACAAUGGGCGCAAGCCUGAUGCAGCCAUGCCGCGUGUAUGAAGAAGGCCUUAGGGUUGUAAAGUACUUUCAGCGGGGAGGCGUUACCCGCAGAAGAAGCACCGGCUAACUCCGUGCCAGCAGCCGCGGUAAUUC